UACGUAGGGCGCGAGCGUUGUCCGGAAUUAUUGGGCGUAAAGAGCUCGUAGGCGGUUUGUCGCGUCUGCCGUGAAAGUCCGGGGCUCAACUCCGGAUCUGCGGUGGGUACGGGCAGACUAGAGUGCGGUAGGGGAGACUGGAAUUCCUGGUGUAGCGGUGAAAUGCGCAGAUAUCAGGAGGAACACCGAUGGCGAAGGCAGGUCUCUGGGCUGUAACUGACGCUGAGGAGCGAAAGCAUGGGGAGCGAACAGG
rnacentral:rRNA from 1 species